UUUAAGCCGUUGACUUUUUAAUCUGCGUUUGACCCUUCAUCUUAUUGAAAAAAUUAUAUAAUUACUGGCUAUUUUAUUAUGAUUUGAUUUAUUACUAAACUAACUUUAAGUAUGAUUUAUAAUUUUAUAUAUUUGGACAAAUUUUUUAAAUAAGACGAAGGGUCAAACGUAAAUCCAAAAGUAAACGGCGUCAAAAAAA
rnacentral:pre_miRNA from 1 species